GUGGACAUAGUUUAAUCAAAACAUUAGGUUGUGAUCCUAACAACGGAGGCUAAUACCCCCCUGCUCACC
rnacentral:tRNA from 1 species